rnacentral:lncRNA from 1 species
CACUACGGUGACUUGUAAGCAACUCACUAUACUUUAGUAUCGAACUAUUUGAGUUUCUAACUUAGUGACGGAAGGAUACUAAGUGCAACCAAGUACUUAUCAAGUCGGUGUGUGAGUCAAGAUGGAAUUGACCCCUCUGAAUUGGUUGGAGAUAUGCAUCAGUGUAUUUUAAUUUAGCAAAACUUUGAUCAAGAUAAUCUAUGAGAUAGAUUUGAAAGAUUGAAAUAUAAUAUGGUCGACUU